GACUAAGUACUAACUUGUACUUUAGAUAGACUAAUAUACGAAAGUAGGGUGGCGCGACGGUGCGUAACGCGUAGGUAAUCUCGCCUGAGGUCUGACAUAACCCGUCGAAAGGCGGGCUAACAUCAGAUGAUAUAUAAUCACGACAUCGUGGAAAUAUCAAAUCUUCGGAGCCUUGGGAUGAGCCUGCGUCUGAUUAGGUAGUUGGCGGAGUAAUAGCCCACCAAGCCUACGAUCAGUAGCUGGUCUGAGAGGAUGAUCAGCCACACUGGAACUGAGACACGGUCCAGACUCCUACGGGAGGCAGCAGUAAGGAAUAUUGCUCAAUGGGGGGAAACCCUGAAGCAGCAACGCCGCGUGAAGGAUGAAAUACUUUUGUAUGUAAACUUCUGUAAGAUGGGAAAAAUAUUCUCCUCGGGAGAAUUGAUUGUACCAUCAGAGUAAGCCCCGGCUAACUACGUG
rnacentral:rRNA from 1 species